UCAGGACACCGGUCCUUUGGAACGAAACGUGUGCGGUGCCAAAUCCCUCCCUGCCCUCUCGCUGCCUCUGUGCUGUUUGUGGCGGCGAGCACCCAGGAGGACCCACUCUGGAAAGCAAACGCAACUUCCAGCACAAAUCCCUCUUUACGCAGGGGAACUGGAGGCCAGGUCUUGGCCCUUUUCACGAACUUCUCUUAAACUCAUCCCUGUUGACCAUCGCAAUACUUGCGGUGAACUUUGCCCCACCCUCCAGACGCCCACUCACGUACAGGCAAGCCCAACUUUUAUUACACACGCUGGCUGGCAAUAACUAAUAUUUGCCUUGUCUCCAAGCUCACAAAGUGAGCCAUGUGUAUCGUAUCCUGGUAUCCCACAGGCCGUGCAGCGGCGGCGUUAUGCGUUUAUCCAGCUAGUGGCCAUGUUGGGCUUGGUGGCAUGGAUCUAGCAGGUGGGAAUGUUGACCGGCAACUAUCCCAGCAGAGCUCAUGGGCUUCCUCCUUAUGAGGACACCCAGACUGAGACACAUUCCCUGGCACACACCUCCCCCCCAUCCCAGGCUCUUGGACCAAGUGUCCAAACAGGUGUGUCGGCUUCUUUUCCCAGAUUCCCCACAGUGGUGUGUCAAAUCCAGUGCAGCCAGGCAGUGGGGGAGACUGGCAAACACUUAUGAACGAGGAUAAAGGACACAGGGUCCAGCAGAGUACUUGUACACUCAGCACACACAGAAAACAUUCUUCUACGGUUCUGGGGGCUCCCGAGGUUUCAAGGAGAGAAAAUGUGUUUUUCAUCCAUGUGUCAAGAGAUGUCACUUUGGAUCAAUGCUGUUGGCCAGCCUCCUGAAAAGGCAAGUCUCAGACUUUUCUCAUGGGAGGACCCUGGCCAGAAACAACUCUGUAUCUGCUGCCCUCAGGGGGCAGUGGGAGUUUUUGGGGGGGGAGGAGGGUCCACUUCAGAUGAGAGAGAUGAAGCAAACUUGUAUUUGCGGUGAAGACCUCAGCACACAACCAACAUGGGAGAAACUGCCACAAAGGGCACCCCCACCCCAGCUCCGGGAAGUCUCUCUCCUGGCCACAUUCAGCGUGACUAGGGUGUGGGCAACACAACAGAAGCUACCACACAGUUAUAGUAGGAAUCUAUAACUUUGGGGACUAGUCAGCACUCUUGAAACGCCUCUAAGCACCACCCGAAUUCUCUUUGGAGCCUGAGUAAGUAUUCAAGAGCACAGGGACCUUAGGUCACAGCUUCUGUCUUUUGGCUGAUGCCAUUGCAGUUCCCUUUUCACAUUUUCUGACCUGGAAGAUGCCCCGAGAGGCAGUGAUUUCUGUGCUUGAAUUACAGUAAGGCAACUGAAGCAUAGAGGACCCAGCUGUGAGGUCACACGGACCAGGUGCAGAGCCCAGGAGGCAAGGCCGGUCUGGAGACCCCACAGCCAGCUGCCCUGCUCAGCCACUAUUAUGAGCAGCAACUUGCCAGGAUGAAGCUCCUCCCUGAGUCUGGGGUCCAGCCAGAGUCUGUUUACCCUGCAGCUUAGGUAAGCCCUUUUCCAGGAACCACCUAAAGCCUCUCGGGGGUCACUGGCUUGCCCUUUGCUGAUCUGCGGAGCCUCCUAUCCAUUUGAAAUUUGUACUUCCGGGCUGUCAUCAGCCAGGACAAUGGCCUCUGAGCCCCUGGAAGCAUGCUCUCAGGUCAGGUGGUCAAAGUCCACUGGGGCUAGGGACAUGGGCUGAGAAAGCUCAGUGAUAGCAAGUAGGGAGAUGCUCAGUGGACAGAGGCUAGAGCUCGGUGAGGGCCAACUAUGGGCAUGAACUUGGCCGCCACCCUGGUGCUGACAGCAAAACUUCCUGAGCCUAGGUAACAAAGUACUGUCACAGUAAAACACAGAAGUCUCAACAGUCCAGCAAGCAGCUGUGUUUACCCUCAUUUUAUAGAUGAGGAAACUAAGGGCCAACACUUGGCCCAGAUCUCGAAGAGGGAGUGAGACCCCUCUCAGAGUCCAGGUCUAUGCUGCCAUUAGGACUUGCCCCUGGGCACCCCCGGGCUCAGCUGUCUGGCGCAAAAGCUGUGAACCGGCCUGAUGCCUCAGUCUCUCUGGCAGGCCCUGGGGCCAGUCCUAACCCAACCACUCCAGGCGGGUGGCAACAGCAUGUGCAGAAGCCUGUUGGCAGAGAAGGGGCCUACAUUCAAGGGGAGACAGUGUAGGAAUGGCACAAGAUGGACAGAGUGGGCGUGGCCCUAGCCAGGCAUAGCUCGUGGCCCUGUGGGGAGCCUAGUUUUUGUCCUAAGGACUAGCUAUGGAGUGACUCUAUCAAACUAGUAACAACUGAUAAGUAAGGAGAGUUAACUGAUGGCUGUCACUGGGUGGGGCGGGGGGAGGCUAUGCACUCUAGGUCUGCAGGAUCUGCUGCUGUCAUAGACACUCUGCCCCUUUGAUAAUUAACCAGUCACUGGGCAAAGUUUACAGACAGGCUUUCCUACAGGCUCCAGUUCAACGUGGUCAGAUGUCAAGUCUCUGUAGUUUGGGUGAAGGCCAAGGCGGCCAACCCACCAGCCGCACCCUCCCCUGUCCUCCUGGGAGACAGAUGCCCUCCUUGUUGGCACAUACUACUCCAUCCUUGGAUGGCUUAGGCUCCAGGGCUGGGACAUGGUGACUUUCAUCCAGUCCAGAGCAUGGACUUGGAACCUCAGGACCCAUGUGACCUGCGUGGGAGUCUCCCUGCAGAGCGGGAUACGGGGACGGAGUUGGUUCAUGAAAGACAUUCUGCUUGCCUCAAGCAGAUGACGCCUCCUCCUCCUGCAUGCAGUGGAGUGGCAAUGCCUGCCUUCCCAUGGCCUGCCCUGAGAGGCCCAUGGGUCAGUGGACAGGGCCCGAAUGGUGGGGUCAUAUUUGGGACGUGGUGACCACUGGCCAGAGGGCUCUUCCAAGGGUCGCCUCCUCCAAGAAGCCUUAUUGGUGACCUUCCCCCUGCCAAAGCUGCCCUCUGCACUGUACUGCAGUGACCUCCCAGACUGCGUGUAGCUGUUGUCUAAAGCAGCACUGUUUGUGCGAGGCCUCUGUCCCUGUCCUGUCAUCAUGCAAAACAGCUGGAACGGAGCCAUCCCACCUCAGACGUGGCCCUGAGCCUGUGGUCUGCUCUUCACAUGCUGUCCUCCCCAACCCUGUUAUCUGCCUAUCACCAAAGAGUCCUGCCAGUCAGUCAAGGAAAUUUGAACUUGGGCCUCAAGAGCCCAAGAGAACGCCCCCAAGAGCCUGUUAUCUGCCUAUCACCAAAGAGUCCUGCCAGUCAGUCAAGGAAAUUUGAACUUGGGCCUCAAGAGCCCAAGAGAACGCCCCCAAGAACCUGUUAUCUGCCUAUCACCAAAGAGUCCUACCAGUCAGUCAAGGAAAUUUGAACUUGGGCCUCAAGAGCCCAAGAGAACGCCCCCAAGAGCCUCCAGAGGGCCGGGCCAGCCUCACUUAGCAAUAGUAUGGCUGAGCAUUGGAGGUGGGCUAAGUCAGCACCCGGGGCCUUGGUUUUCACUAAAUUAAGGAACUGGACUGUGGUCCUUGGUCCCCUGGAGGGACAGGCUUUGUCUGACAAAGUUUUCUUGGUCUGUAGCAAGUGCAAAAACUGACAUGGUAGAAAAUUGACAAUAAAAUUUCAUUUAGUCGA